rnacentral:lncRNA from 1 species
UGAGAAACCAGAAAUCUGAUUAUUUUCAUGAGAAAUUGGAGUUUUACAAAUUAGCAAAACUGUGCUUUGUAAAUGUCUUUAUGCCUUCUAAACGUCCUUUCUCCUGAAGUCUAUAACGUGACAUGGGAUAGCAAAGUAUUUUUUGGCAUGAACCAUUGCAUUGAAUAUCUUAACCCAUUUGUGUUGCUAUUAAAAAAAACUCUUGAGACUAAAAAAUGUAUUAAAAAAAGAGGUUUAUUUGGCUCAUGAUUCUGCAGCCCAUACAGGAAGAAUGGCACCAGCAUCUGCUCAGCUUCUGGUGAAUUUCUCAUGUUGCUUCCACACAUGGCGGAAGGCAAAGGGAAGCCAGCAUGUAGUGAGAUCACAUAGUGAGAAAAGAGGAAAGAGGGGGGAGGGGGUGCUAGGCUCUUUGUAACAACUAGCUUUCUUGGGAACUAACAGAGAGCUCAUUCAUCCCCUCUCCCCAGGGAGGGCAACAAUCUUUUCAUGAGGGAUCUGCUCCCAAGACCCUAACACCUCCCAUUAGGCC